UACGUAGGGUCCAAGCGUUGUCCGGAUUUAUUGGGCGUAAAGAGCUCGUAGGCGGUUCCGUAAGUCGGAUGUGAAAACUCGAGGCUCAACCUCGAGACGUCGGCGGAAACCCUCCAGCUAGAGUCCGGAAGAGGAGAGUGGAAUUCCUGGUGUAGCGGUGAAAUGCGCAGAUAUCAGGAGGAACACCGGUGGCGAAGGCGGGUCUCUGGGCCGAUACUGACGCUGAGGAGCGAAAGCGUGGGGAGCGAACAGG
rnacentral:rRNA from 1 species